AAAAUUAAUUAAAAAAAAAUCUAUGGGGUAUUUUGAGCUGAAACUUCACAGACACAUUCAGGGGACACCUUAGACUUAUAUUACAUCUUGUAAAAACUGUUUCUAGGGCACCUUUAAACUCCUCAUUUAUCAUUUCUGAAGCACAAGCACAGAAAGCUGGCUGUCAGAAAGCACGUCUCGGUUAACUGCACCCCUUCAUCUCUCUCUCUCUCUCGCCCUCCUCAUUACACUCGUGUGUUCGUGACUGGCCUGGUGGGUGUGUGUACGUGCUUGUCUGUGAAAUUAUGAAUGAGUGUGUGUGUGAGAGAGAGAAAGGGAGGGAUGGAGCGACUGCAUCGUGAAACGAGAAGGAUUCAUUUACUAGCUUCUACGCUUCACUGACAGACAGGAGGAGGCAGCUGAUCGGAGUGUGUUUGAGGAGAGCAUCUACACAGUUAAAGCAUGGAUCAGAAGUCCACUUCACCCCAGAGACACGCAGUGAAAAGCAGGUCGAAGUCUACAGAUGAAGUCCAGCAAGCUAAAAAGGCCUUCCACAUCCCCCAGAAAUCACUACCUGGUGGGUCAGAACUGGAAAAGGUGAAGGAGGGACCAGAAGAAAAUGUGACUCCAGCAUCAUCCACAGAAGAGCUGAAAUGAUGCUGCCGUUAAUCUGUUUCUUUCUCUCUCUCACCCUCACACACUCUUUCUCACACACACACACACACACACGAUUGUUUUUUAUAAACAAUGUUGGUAUGGUACAGUUACAGCAUUAACUCUUCCUUCUGUUGGAUCAGUUUUCAUCAUCCUGCAGCACAUACAGUCUGUUCGCGUCUGUCCGCGCUGCGUCUCUGUACUCUGACCUGCUGUUUAUAUAAACUCUAUCAUUUCACUAUGAA